rnacentral:rRNA from 1 species
UACGUAGGGUGCGAGCGUUGUCCGGAAUUAUUGGGCGUAAAGAGCUCGUAGGCGGUUUGUCGCGUCUGCCGUGAAAGUCCGGGGCUCAACUCCGGAUCUGCGGUGGGUACGGGCAGACUAGAGUGAUGUAGGGGGAGACUGGAAUUCCUGGUGUAGCGGUGAAAUGCGCAGAUAUCAGGAGGAACACCGGGUGGCGAAGGCG